rnacentral:rRNA from 1 species
UACGUAGGGUGCGAGCGUUGUCCGGAAUUAUUGGGCGUAAAGAGCUCGUAGGCGGCUUGUCGCGUCGGAUGUGAAAGCCCGGGGCUUAACUUCGGGUCUGCAUUCGAUACGGGCAGGCUAGAGUUCGGUAGGGGAGAUCGGAAUUCCUGGUGUAGCGGUGAAAUGCGCAGAUAUCAAGAGGAACACCUGAGGUGAAGACGGGUUGCUGGGCUGACACUGACGCUGAGGCGCGAAAGCCAGGGGAGCAAACGGG